rnacentral:lncRNA from 1 species
CUCAUCUCGCUAAUCUCCCCCUAGCGACGAGAAUGGAAGAGACCCAUUUACUGGUGCAGCUGGCAAGCACGUCGAAGCUACAAUAGUUGAGAAACGGUGGAGCUUGUAUAGCCUCGCCCAAGCUAAACUUAAGUAGAAUUUAUCAACGGAAACCAAUUUCCUAUUCGAACCGCAUUACAGUAUCAACAUUCAUUAAUUUACAUCUUCAGGUAAGUGUGCAUAGAAAUAAUUAGAUAAAUGAGGGAAAAGGUAAUCAAAAAUGAAACUGGCGGUCAAAGUCCCACGGCGCAGGUAGCAUUGUCGAUGACGUCAUCGUGAUUCUCAAACCCUCUUCCUCCCCCAUGUAUUCCCGCCAUGGUGUAAACAGUCUAGGAGUGUUUGUAUUGUGUCGCUACUUACACAGGUAAGAUUCAGAAGUUUAUUCUUGUUAAUAACAUAUAAUAAUGGGAUGGAAGAGAGAGAUUUUGUAAAUCAAUUUUAUGGUAUGAUAUGAUUGAUUACAGACAAAGCAUUGGUAUGCGGGGAGGAUAAAGGGUUAAAUUGCUGCAAUUUGAAUUCAUUCUUUCUGCCAUUAUUCAUUUCCUUUUUUCUUCGCGUUUCAUUUUAUUAAAAGCAAUUUGAAAAUCACAACCUCUUUAACAAGAAAAGAAAAAAAAAGCGCUUAUCAAACAAUGUUAAUGGACUUUUGCACUUUUUAUGAUGCCUGUUGACACCUGUGAAUGCAAUACUCGCUACACCUACAUAAGUUUGGUUUACUCAGCAACAGUAUUUAUUAAACUCGUAUAAAAAUAACAAUAAAAAUACAGUAAUGUUAAAAUAUUCUAGCUGUAAAUUUUAGCAUUUAAUGUUCUAUUUGUCAUUUGUAGAAAGCAAUUUUGUUUGCAGUUUUGUUGGAUAAUUAUAUAUUUUAGGAUUUAUUAAUGAUUUCGACCGAGUAUAAAAAAAAAAUAACCACCCACACUGCCUAUUUCAACCAACGAAAUGAACUGCUAAACCACCCAACCGCGAAUACCCAGAUAGAACUGUGGGUUGCUUGGCUACUGCUACAAGCUGCUGACCUUGGCCCACGUUGCUUUUCCUACUUUACCUGUCCUUACUUUACAAUACAGAUAUGUGCGACAAAUAAUUAAUAAAGCGUAGUUGGCGUUGUGCAUUUUAUAUGAUAAACAGGAAGAGAAUAGGAGCCAAGAGAGCGUCGUUCGAUUGUAUACCUUUCAGGUUAGGGUUUAUGGGAGCAGCAAAUGGUUUUAUGUUACAAAGGGAGAGGGCGACUGUACUUUCCGAAUUGACCCAGUAGUAGUUUUCGCCCCUACCAUCUGUCUGAGGUCAAUUUACCGAGGUUAGAGGUCAUCCAGGUGGAGAUUGAAUGGGAAGAUCGUCUUUCCGUUACCAGACAAUUGCAGCCGAUAAUAGAACUUCCGGUCUGAAGAUUACAGUGUUGUCUGUCCCACUAGCCCUCAUAUAAUGGAAAAUACUUACAGGCUAUAAUUUAUUUCGUCAUAUGGAGGGUGAAAUAUUUUCUUUUCUCGGAUCCUCUUGUCCUAAAUAUUUUAAGGGUACAAAUUUUUCCUCUUUUGAUUGUUAUCGGAAUUGUGUUGCACUUGAGAAAGGAACAAAAAAAAGACGCAAAAGAUUUUUUUGUUUAUCUUUUAUCGGCUAGACUUUACACUAGAGUUUGUUGUUUG